UGUGUAGGCGGUUCGCCAAGUUCGGUGUGAAAUCUCCCGGCUUAACUGGGAGGGUGCGCCGAAUACUGGCGGGCUAGAGUGCGGGAGAGGAGAGCGGAAUUCCUGGUGUAGCGGUGAAAUGCGUAGAUAUCAGGAGGAACACCUGCGGUGUAGACGGCUCUCUGGACCGUUUCUGACGCUGAGACACGAAAGCGUGGGUAGCAAACA
rnacentral:rRNA from 1 species